rnacentral:rRNA from 1 species
GUUGAACGCUGGCGGCAUGCCUUACACAUGCAAGUCGAACGGUAACAGGUCUUCGGAUGCUGACGAGUGGCGAACGGGUGAGUAAUACAUCGGAACGUGCCUAGUAGUGGGGGAUAACUACUCGAAAGAGUGGCUAAUACCGCAUGAUAUCUACGGAUGAAAGCAGGGGAUCGCAAGGCCUUGUGCUACUAGAGCGGCCGAUGGCAGAUUAGGUAGUUGGUGGAAUAAAAGCUUACCAAGCCGACGAUCUGUAGCUGGUCUGAGAGGACGAUCAGCCACACUGGGACUGAGACACGGCCCAGACUCCUACGGGAGGCAGCAGUGGGGAAUUUUGGACAAUGGGCGAAAGCCUGAUCCAGCAAUGCCGCGUGCAGGAUGAAGGCCUUCGGGUUGUAAACUGCUUUUGUACGGAACGAAAAGCCCCGGGUUAAUACCCUGGGGUCAUGACGGUACCGUAAGAAUAAGCACCGGCUAACUACGUGCCAGCCGCCGCCGUAA